GCCUGGGUGGCUCAGUCGGUUGAGUGUCUGACUUCGGCUCAGGUCAUGAUCUCUCGCGGUCUGUGAAUUCGAGCCCCGCCUUGGGCU
rnacentral:tRNA from 1 species